rnacentral:ribozyme from 14 species
UUUUAUUCACAGAAAGAAAGAAAGAAAGAAAGAAAGAAAGAAGAGG